UACGGAGGGGGCUAGCGUUGUUCGGAAUUACUGGGCGUAAAGGGCUCGUAGGUGGCCAACUAAGUCAGACGUGAAAUCCCCAGGCUCAACUUGGGAACUGCGUCUGAUACUGGAUGGCUUGAAUUCGGGAGAGGGAUGCAGAAUUCCAGGUGUAGCGGUGAAAUGCGUAGAUAUCUGGAGGAAUACCGGUGGCGAAGGCGGCAUCCUGGACCGAGAUUGACACUGAUGAGCGAAAGCUAGGGGAGCAAACGGG
rnacentral:rRNA from 1 species